GUGCUCGCUUUGGCAGCACAUAUUACUAAAAUUGGAAUGAUACAGAGAAGAUUAGCAUGGCCCCUGCUCAAGGAUGACAUGCAAAUUCAUGAAGCAUAUGUACUAUGU
ensembl:snRNA U6 U6 spliceosomal RNA